rnacentral:rRNA from 1 species
UGGGGAAUCUUAGACAAUGGGCGCAAGCCUGAUCUAGCCAUGCCGCGUGAGUGACGAAGGCCUUAGGGUCGUAAAGCUCUUUCGCCAGGGAUGAUAAUGACAGUACCUGGUAAAGAAACCCCGGCUAACUCCGUGCCAGCAGCCGCGGUAAUACGGAGGGGGUUAGCGUUGUUCGGAAUUACUGGGCGUAAAGCGUACGUAGGCGGAUUGGAAAGUAUGGGGUGAAAUCCCAGGGCUCAACCCUGGAACUGCCCUGUAAACUAUCAGUCUAGAGUUCGAGAGAGGUGAGUGGAAUUCCAAGUGUAGAGGUGAAAUUCGUAGAUAUUUGGAGGAACACCAGUGGCGAAGGCGGCUCACUGGCUCGAUACUGACGCUGAGGUACGAAAGUGUGGGGAGCAAACA